CAGGAGCGCUGGCGGCAGGCCUAACACAUGCAAGUCGAGCGGAUCCUUCGGGAUUAGCGGCGGACGGGUGAGUAACGCGUGGGAAUAUGCCCUUCUCUACGGAAUAGCCUCGGGAAACUGGGAGUAAUACCGUAUACGCCCUACGGGGGAAAGAUUUAUCGGAGAAGGAUUAGCCCGCGUUGGAUUAGGUAGUUGGUGGGGUAAUGGCCUACCAAGCCUACGAUCCAUAGCUGGUUUGAGAGGAUGAUCAGCCACACUGGGACUGAGACACGGCCCAGACGCCUACGGGAGUCAGCAGUGGGGAAUCUUAGACAAUGGGGGAAACCCUGAUCUAGCCAUGCCGCGUGAGUGAUGAAGGCCUUAGGGUUGUAAAGCUCUUUCAGCUGGGAAGAUAAUGACGGUACCAGCAGAAGAAGCCCCGGCUAACUCCGUGCCAGCCGCCGCAGUAACAC
rnacentral:rRNA from 1 species